GAGCAAUCUGCCCUUCACUCUGGGAUAACCCCCGGAAACGGGAGCUAAUACCGGAUAUGACCACUUCACGCAUGUGAUGGUGGUGGAAAGUUCUGGCGGUGGAGGAUGAGCUCGCGGCCUAUCAGCUUGUUGGUGGGGUAAUGGCCCACCAAGGCUUCGACGGGUAGCCGGCCUGAGAGGGUGACCGGCCACACUGGGACUGAGACACGGCCCAGACUCCUACGGGAGGCAGCAGUGGGGAAUAUUGGACAAUGGGCGAAAGCCUGAUCCAGCAACGCCGCGUGAGGGAUGACGGCCUUCGGGUUGUAAACCUCUUUCAGCGCAGACGAAGCGAAAGUGACGGUAUGCGCAGAAGAAGCACCGGCCAACUACGUGCCAGCAGCCGCGGUAAUACGUAGGGUGCGAGCGUUGUCCGGAAUUAUUGGGCGUAAAGGGCUCGUAGGCGGUUUGUCACGUCAGGAGUGAAAACUCGGGGCUCAACCCCGAGCCUGCUUCUGAUACGGGCUGACUAGAGGUAUGCAGGGGAGAACGGAAUUCCUGGU
rnacentral:rRNA from 1 species